UGUGACGUCACCGUGUUGCUGGGUGGAAAAGCGGUGACGCAGGGCGGGCGCGCGAAUGUGGGAUCCACGUAAAUAGAAGCCAUUCAUCCAGGCUGAGAGGACUGGCAGCUUUCAGAGUCACCCUGUCCGCUGAUACACAACCACCGCUUAACAAGGCCAGUUCCUCCAGCCUACUGAUAAUCUUCAUGGCCCUCCUCUGGACUGUCUCCAAAAACUCCAUGUCUUUCUGAUGCUGGGGGCCCUGGACCUGGAUGCAGUACUCCAGCUGGAGCCUCUCAUUCAGCUUCAUAAAGCCUGAAGACCUCCAGAGCAAUUCCAGGAGUGAGAAAGGAGAACCCAAUCUGACAGAAUCACAAAUCCAUGCUGUGGGUUUAUUUCUGAACAGUGUCAUCUCUCCAUUGUCCCAGUGGGCAGAAGGAAAACUGGCAGAAGGGACGUGCUUAGAAUUCAUUUUGCCAGAUUCCAACUGUGGCACAUUUUCUGAUGAAAGAAGUGCAGCCUGUGUUUGAUGAAGGAGACAUCAGUGCCAUUUCAACCUCUGCCUUUAUGAAGCUUCUUUUGUCCUUUGGUAGGUUUUGGGCAGCUCCUUGUCUGCACCUUCAGCUGGCCCAUCACUUGCAGCACAGCGCUGCUGCUUUACUUAAAGGGAAACUAAAUCUCCUGCCUGAGAACUAUAUGGGAAAAUUUGCUUUGCAUGAGCUGGCUGUGAAGAAGCAAAUUCCCUGCCCAGCAGCAGAACGUGCCUAUGAAUAGUCCCUGUGUAAACAGGGUUGCACAUUGCAGAACGGCAUCGGGCAUGCUUUCCACCAGCCAUCUCUUCCUGAAAUUCAAUAGACAUUGAUAUUUAUAUCCAGCC